UAAUACGUAGGUGGCAAGCGUUGUCCGGAUUUACUGGGCGUAAAGCGUAUGCAGGCGGAUACUUAAGUAGGAAGUGAAAGGUGGGAGCUCAACUCCCACAUUGCUCCCUAUACUGGGUGUCUUGAGUGGCGGAGAGGGAGAUGGAACGACACGUGUAGCGGUGAAAUGCGUUGAUAUGUGUCGGAACACCAAUGGCGAAAGCAAUCUCCUGGACGCAAACUGACGCUGAGAUACGAAAGCCAAGGUAGCAAACAGGAUUAGAUACCCUGGUAGUCUUGGCCAUAAACGAUGUUCACUAGGUGUUGGGGCUUUGCCUCGGUGCCGCAGCUAACGCAUUAAGUGAACCGCCUGGGAACUACGAUCGCAAGAUUA
rnacentral:rRNA from 1 species